GCGGAGGAAAAGAAACCAACCGGGAUUGCCUUAGUAACGGCGAGUGAAGCGGCAACAGCUCAAAUUUAAAAUCCGGCCCUCCCCGGGGCCCGAGUUGUAAUUUGCAGAGGAUGCUUCGGGGGCGGAGCCGGUCCAAGUCCAUUGGAAUAUGGCGUCAGAGAGGGUGAGAAUCCCGUCUGCGACCGGUUCACCCAACCCCAUCGGUAGCUCCUUCGACGAGUCGAGUUGUUUGGGAAUGCAGCUCAAAAUGGGUGGUAAAUUUCAUCUAAAGCUAAAUACCGGCCAGAGACCGAUAGCGCACAAGUAGAGUGAUCGAAAGAUGAAAAGCACUUUGGAAAGAGAGUCAAAAAGUACGUGAAAUUGUUGAAAGGGAAGCGCUUGCGACCAGACCUGCUCGUGGGUGAUCAACUUCCGUUCUCGGGGGUGCACUCAUCCGCGACCAGGCCAGCAUCGGUUCAAGCGGUCGGAUAAAGGCCCUGGUGGAAUGUAGCUCUCCUUCUAAGGGGGGGAGUCUUAUAGCCCUCGGCGAAAUACGGCCAGCUUGAACCGAGGACCGCGCUCCUGGCUAGGAUGCUGGCGUAAUGGUUGUCAGCGG
rnacentral:rRNA from 1 species